rnacentral:rRNA from 1 species
GUCGAGUGCGCGUGCCGUAGCAAUACGGUAUGGCGCACGGCGCACGGGUGCGUAACACGUGGGCAAUCUGCCCUCCGAUGGGGAAUAACUCCGGGAAACCGAAGCUAAUUCCGCAUAACAUUCCCUGGACUCCGGUUCGGGGAUUCAAAGCAGCAAUGCGUCGGAGGAGGAGCCCGCGCCCGAUUAGCUAGUUGGUGAGGUAACGGCUCACCAAGGCUAUGAUCGGUAGCUGGUCUGAGAGGAUGGCCAGCCACACUGGAACUGAGACACGGUCCAGACUCCUACGGGAGGCAGCAGUGGGGAAUCUUGCGCAAUGGGCGAAAGCCUGACGCAGCGACGCCGCGUGGGGGAUGAAGCUUCUCGGAGUGUAAACCCCUUUCGACCGGGACGAAUGCCCGCAAGGGAGUGACGGUACCGGUAGAAGAAGCCCCGGCUAACUACGUGCCAGCAGCCGCGGUAAGACGUAGGGGGCCAGCGUUGUUCGGAAUUACUGGGUGUAAAGGGUUCGUAGGCGGUGUGGCAAGUCGGGAGUGAAAUUUCUGGGCUUAACUCAGAACCUGCUUCCGAAACUGCUGUGCUGGAGUGUGGGAGAGGCGCGUGGAAUUGCAGGUGUAGCGGUGAAAUGCGUAGAUAUCUGCAGGAACACCCGUGGCGAAAGCGGCGCGCUGGACCACUACUGACGCUGA